rnacentral:tRNA from 1 species
AGGCCCGUAGCCCAGUCAGGAUUAAGGCACCGGCCUCCGGAGCCGGAAACCUGGGGUUCAAAUCCCCACGGGCCUGCCA